GAUGAACGCUGGCGGCGUGCUUAACACAUGCAAGUCGAACGAAGCACCUUGAUUUGAUUCUUCGGAUGAAGAUCUUGGUGACUGAGUGGCGGACGGGUGAGUAACGCGUGGGUAACCUGCCUCAUACAGGGGGAUAACAGUUAGAAAUGACUGCUAAUACCGCAUAAGACCACAGCACCGCAUGGUGCAGGGGUAAAAACUCCGGUGGUAUGAGAUGGACCCGCGUCUGAUUAGGUAGUUGGUGGGGUAACGGCCUACCAAGCCGACGAUCAGUAGCCGACCUGAGAGGGUGACCGGCCACAGUGGGACUGAGACACGGCCCAAACUCCUACGGGAGGCAGCAGUGGGGAAUAUUGCACAAUGGGGGAAACCCUGAUGCAGCGACGCCGCGUGAGCGAUGAAGUAUUUCGGUAUGUAAAGCUCUAUCAGCAGGGAAGAAAAUGACGGUACCUGACUAAGAAGCACCGGCUAAAUACGUG
rnacentral:rRNA from 1 species